rnacentral:rRNA from 1 species
ACGAACGCUGGCGGCGUGCUUAACACAUGCAAGUCGAACGGUAAGGCUCCAGCUUGCUGGGGUACACGAGUGGCGAACGGGUGAGUAACACGUGGGUGACCUGCCCUGCACUUCGGGAUAAGCCUGGGAAACUGGGUCUAAUACCGGAUAGGACCGCACCGUGAGGGUGUGGUGGAAAGUUUUUUCGGUGUGGGAUGGGCCCGCGGCCUAUCAGCUUGUUGGUGGGGUAAUGGCCUACCAAGGCGGCGACGGGUAGCCGGCCUGAGAGGGUGGACGGCCACAUUGGGACUGAGACACGGCCCAGACUCCUACGGGAGGCAGCAGUGGGGAAUAUUGCACAAUGGGCGGAAGCCUGAUGCAGCGACGCCGCGUGGGGGAUGACGGCCUUCGGGUUGUAAACUCCUUUCACCAUCGACGAAGGGUUUCUGACGGUAGAUGGAGAAGAAGCACCGGCUAACUACGUGCCAGCAGCCGCGGUAAUACGUAGGGUGCGAGCGUUGUCCGGAAUUACUGGGCGUAAAGAGCUCGUAGGUGGUUUGUCGCGUCGUCUGUGAAAUUCCGGGGCUUAACUCCGGGCGUGCAGGCGAUACGGGCAUAACUUGAGUACUGUAGGGGAGACUGGAAUUCCUGGUGUAGCGGUGAAAUGCGCAGAUAUCAGGAGGAACACCGGUGGCGAAGGCGGGUCUCUGGGCAGUAACUGACGCUGAGGAGCGAAAGCAUGGGGAGCGAACAGGAUUAGAUACCCUGGUAGUCCAUGCCGUAAACGGUGGGCGCUAGGUGUGGGUUUCCUUCCACGGGAUCCGUGCCGUAGCUAACGCAUUAAGCGCCCNGCCUGGGGAGUACGGCCGCAAGGCUAAAACUCAAAGGAAUUGACGGGGGCCNGCACAAGCGGCGGAGCAUGUGGAUUAAUUCGAUGCAACGCGAAGAACCUUACCUGGGCUUGACAUAUACAGGAUCGCGCCAGAGAUGGUGUUUCCCUUGUGGCUUGUAUACAGGUGGUGCAUGGUUGUCGUCAGCUCGUGUCGUGAGAUGUUGGGUUAAGUCCCGCAACGAGCGCAACCCUUGUCUUAUGUUGCCAGCACGUUAUGGUGGGGACUCGUAAGAAACUGCCGGGGUUAACUCGGAGGAAGGUGGGGAUGACGUCAAAUCAUCAUGCCCCUUAUGUCCAGGGCUUCACACAUGCUACAAUGGUCGGUACAGUGGGUUGCCAGUCCGUGAGGGCGAGCUAAUCCCGCAAAGCCGGUCUCAGUUCGGAUCGGGGUCUGCAACUCGACCCCGUGAAGUCGGAGUCGCUAGUAAUCGCAGAUCAGCAACGCUGCGGU